CACGUAGGGGGCAAGCGUUGUCCGGAUUUAUUGGGCGUAAAGAGCGUGUAGGCGGCCAGGUAGGUCUGCUGUGAAAACUCGAGGCUCAACCUCGAGCUGUCGGCGGAAACCAUCUGGCUAGAGUCCGGAAGAGGAGAGUGGAAUUCCUGGUGUAGCGGUGAAAUGCGCAGAUAUCAGGAAGAACACCCGUGGCGAAGGCGGCUCUCUGGGACGGUACUGACGCUGAGACGCGAAAGCGUGGGGAGCGAACAGG
rnacentral:rRNA from 1 species